rnacentral:lncRNA from 1 species
GAAGGGCUGGUUAUGAGUAAUGUGAUACAAUUUUAUGAGAUGAUGAGAUUACAAUAACAAUACCUCCUCUCAUAGAAUAGCCAGCAAGUCUCCACUAAAUAACAGUGCCUUGAUUUUAUAGAUGUUUCAUCAUGGAUAUUGAGUUAAUGUGAACCAUUUGUAGACACAGGAGUUUAUUAAAGACUUAUAUAAUAUCUUUCAAGUAUUUAGAAUAGUGUUGAAAUUAAGCCUGCAUCCCCACGAUUUUCAGCGGUGCUGAUGCCUAAUAAACUCAACCCCUUGCAUGCCAAAAUUGGCUUAAAGCCCAUCUGUUACCCAAGCUACACUUCAAGCAUCGAGGUUCAAAAAUGUGAUUUUGAAUAUGCAAGAGUUUGAGGAAUUCACUACUCACACUUUCUUGAACAGUCUAUCCAAGUGCAUCAAGCAAAAUGUGAGUAAAGAAAUUUUGAGCAAAGGAUUGAUAGUAAUGUUGAAUACAUUUAAUAGUAGAUCAAAGAUUAAAAGGUGAAAGUGAGGGUGAGAAGAGUGUAUGAAUGCUUUGUGUUCUGACAAAGAGAAUGUAGCACCCAGGUCCUACCUGCUUGGAUGCAUUGCCAGUGCCCACGGUAGGCCAUUUUAUCCAGGUUUUUAGGUAUUGUCUUAUUUUGUUUGUUUUUUUUCUUUUCAGGAGUCUUAGUCCAAGACCAAUAACUCCGUAACUGGUAGAUUUGGAAGACUUUAAUAGUGCUUAACAUUUUGUACAUAGCUUUAUAACAGUUUUCUUUUUCUUUUUUUCUGAGAGAUUCUUUUCAAUAUACCCCAUCAUGGUUGAACUCAAAAAUCAUUGCUUAUUUAAAAUCUACAACUGCUGACGUUUUGUAACGUUCGCAUUCCAGAUACAACAGAGAAAUGCAUAAUGUCCAGUCAAUUUAUUAAAGUUCCAAAGUCGGUCGCGCGCAGUGGCUCACGCCUGUAAUCUCAACACUUCGGGAGGCCGAGGCGUGUGGAUCACGAGGAGUGAGGACACAGCGAAAGUGAGACAAGGAAAAGAGAACAAAAUAAAACAGGAAAGACAGAAAAGCCAAUACCACACGUGUUAAGAGGUAAGUUCCUGUGUUAGAUAUCUGGGCUUAAUUUUAUGGGAAGCUAUGUGGAGCAUGCCUCAGAAUUACAUCACUGAAUCCAGGGAGAUUCUUCUUAGUUACCCUCACCUUUUCUUCCCACUUCAUGCCCAGUAACAAGCUCCCGUGCUGCUAGAGAAAGUCCUCAGCUAGAAACUGGUGCAAAUUCUGGAGAUGAGACCUUGUAGAGUGUUAAGAAUGGUUUUCUUCCCAGCAGCUACAGCUAAGGAAUAGGGGCUGGGCUAUGAAUACAUCUGCUACAAACCAAUAAAGCCCUUAUGCUCCUUUUGGUGAUCGACAAUGUAUUUAAAAAUAUUAGAUGAUCAAGAAGGGCUGCAGAAAGGAGGAAACAGAAACAAACAGCACACCUCUUG